rnacentral:rRNA from 1 species
GACGAACGUUGGCGGCACGCUUAACACAUGCAAGUCGAACGAGAGAAGAGAAGCUUGCUUUUCUGAUCUAGUGGCGGACGGGUGAGUAACACGUGAGCAAUCUGCCUUUCAGAGGGGGAUACCGAUUGGAAACGAUCGUUAAUACCGCAUAACAUAAUUGAACCGCAUGAUUUGAUUAUCAAAGAUUUAUCGCUGAAAGAUGAGCUCGCGUCUGAUUAGCUAGUUGGUAAGGUAACGGCUUACCAAGGCGACGAUCAGUAGCCGGACUGAGAGGUUGAUCGGCCACAUGGGGACUGAGACACGGCCCAGACUCCUACGGGAGGCAGCAGUGGGGAAUAUUGCACAAUGGAGGAAACUCUGAUGCAGCGAUGCCGCGUGAGGGAAGAAGGUUUUAGGAUUGUAAACCUCUGUCUUCAGGGACGAAAAAAGACGGUACCUGAGGAGGAAGCUCCGGCUAACUACGUG